rnacentral:rRNA from 1 species
CCCCUAGAUGUUCUGGGCCGCACGCGCGCUACACUGACGAAUGCAACGAGCUUAUAACCUUGUCCGAAAGGUCUGGGUAAUCUCCAAAUUUCGUCGUGAUGGGGAUAGAUUAUUGCAAUUAUUAAUCUUCAACGAGGAAUGCCUAGUAAGCGCAAGUCAUCAGCUUGCGUUGAUUACGUCCCUGCCCUUUGUACACACCGCCCGUCGCUCCUACCGAUUGAAUGGUCCGGUGAAGCGUUCGGACCGUGGCCUUUGGACGGUUCGCCGUCUGUUGGCUGCGGGAAGUUCGUUAAACCUUAUCAUUUAGAGGAAGGAGAAGUCGUAACA